GCUAAUGUAGCUUAAAUAAAGCACAGCACUGAAGAUGCUGAGAUGGGCCCUAAAAAGCCUCAAUAGCA
rnacentral:tRNA from 1 species